ACGAGUCGAGUGCUCUUGCGCUCGAUUUCUAACCCCAUGUCUAUUACCUUUGUUGCCUCGGCGAGCCGUCAUUCCACGAUUGACGCAGGCUCUGCUUGCGAGUGUUCGCCGCAGGGAAUUUUUUUAACGUCUUUGAAAAAACCGUCUGAAAUAUAAAUAUAAAAUCA
rnacentral:misc_RNA from 1 species